rnacentral:rRNA from 1 species
CCCACACCACCACCCCGCCCUCCUCCACCACCCUAACCCCUCCGCCCCCACACGCCUCCUCGCAUUCCCCCAAUGGCGGCCAUUACCACCACAACCGCGUCCUCCUCCUUCCUCCACCGCCGUAUCUCCUCGUCACCAGCAACAACCACCACCCCGCGUAGCCACCUGGUUCCCUUCCACGCGCGCAACCGGUGCCACCCCAGGUUCGCCUGCCGCGCCACCGAUGUGUCCGGGGCCGAGCCAUCGGCGCCUCCAGAGACCGGAGGGGGCAGCAGCUGGUUACCGGUGGUGCCGCUGGCGGCGCUCCCGCGGGGAGAGCGCCGUGUGAUCGUACAGGGCGGGGAGGAGAUCCUGCUUCUCUGGUACAAGGAUGAGGUAUUCGCCAUCGAGAACCGCUCCCCGGCCGAGGGCGCGUACACCGAGGGUCUCCUCAACGCCAAGCUCACGCAGGAUGGCUGCAUUGUUUGCCCAUCAACAGAUAGUACCUUUGAUCUUCGCACUGGAGAAAUAAAAGAGUGGUAUCCGAAAAACCCUGUUUUAAGGGCUCUGACACCUGUAUUGAGAAAACUAUUCGUGUACCCUGCAAAAACGGAUGGAGAAAAUAUAUACAUCAGCAUUAGGGGCGCUGCUAGCUCUGUAGGAUCAGCUGAGAUUCUGUUCAGCGGGAAAGCUCAACCAGGGAGUACUGCAUCUGAUGUCAACAUCGAAGAGGUGAGAAUGGUGGUCGAUGAAGGUGUAGGAGGUUUUGGUUUCACUGCUUACAAUGAACUGGUCAACGGAAAAGCUGCCAUAAUUGGCUUUCUAUUGUUGAUAGAUUUUGAACUUUUAACUGGUAAAGGCCUUCUCAAGGGGACUGGUCUAUUGGACUUCAUCUAUGCAAUUUCAAGAGCUUUCAGCUCGUAAAGAUGUUUUCUGUUUAGUGUGGAGUGUUAUCAAGGUUUAUUAACUCGAACCUGAAAGAAGUGUUCGAGUGAAUAAACCACUUCUUUCAGGUUCGAGUGAAUAACAAGAGAUUGCUGCUUGUUAUCAUGCAAGGAGUACAACAAUACUGUAUUAUUUCCGGUGUGAGGUUUAGUGGAGCAAUCUGAUUUCGAAGUAUUUAUGUAAAGCGCCUUCGAGUGCCAGGCCGGUUAUCUUGCCAGUUGAUCUACUACGUUAACCAAGGGGGCAAUGGUUGUGUGCAUCAUCGAUGCAGAAGCAGGGACGCAAUAAACUUUUCCACCAUCUAACACAAAAGUGCACAACAAUUUCAAUGUCAUCGUGAGGAAAUGUAGAGAGCACAUGCCCCAGGUUCAUUUCAGUGUGGAGUUCAACAAUGCUUAUGCUCUUCUAGAAAUGUAAAGAGCACAUGCCCCAGGUUCAUUUCAGUGUGGAGUUCAACAAUGCUUAUGCUCUUCUCUCAAAUAGGAUGCACAAUAAAUGGAAAUUCAAAAUGGAGUUCGGCUUUUUUGCUCCUGCGUGAACAGUUCAAAAGAAAAAAAAGGUAAGAAAAACCUGAUUUUUUUAAUGAACAUGUUUGUGUCUUCUAACCGUGUGUAUAUCUUUUGUGAAUAAAAGACCAGAUCACC